UGGUGCUUUGUGUGUCUUUCUGUAUUGUUCUGUCAUAAGGAGGAGUAUCUUAGACUAGAACAUGGGCUUAGGGCAGCUAUACACCUGCUGUUCAAGAAGGCCAAGCAGACUUUGCUGCAGCAUUAAGAAAACUUUUUAUAACUUUUAACAAUAGAGUUAAGUAUACUUCUGUGAAAAAAAUUUGGAGCAUAUUUGUUUCUGUCUACCUGAUUUCUCCAGAAUUUGGAAACUAUUUUCAGCUGCAGCUAAGGAUGCCUCAUAGAGAUGCUUCGAUGCACAUAGGGAAAGUCCGUCUUUGGGUCCUCUUCAUAAAUCAUGGAAGAUAUCCCAAAGAAUUAAAAAGAAGAAAGCUGUGAAUUAAACCCCAAAGCCCACUACUGGAGAAUGAGCUCUCUUUUUGCCUGCUGCCAUCCAUGUAAGACGUGACUUGUUUCUCCUUGCCUUCUGCCAUGAUUGUGAGGCUUCCCCAGACACUUGGAACUGUGCAGAGAUGUUGUGCUCACUGAAGCUGCACUCACCUCCCAUGUGCUGCAGAGAUCCACUGUGUCAAACAUGAUCUUUCCCUGUGCAUCCAUCAGCAAAAGCUCCUCCCCAGGCUGGAACACAGAAAGAAAGAGAGUUUGCACAAAGCUCUGUCUGGCCUCAGCCAAGCUUGGGGCCCAUAAACCUUGAGACUGAUAGAACCAUCUGUCCUUAUUCUUGAACAGAAUUGUAAAAUUAGGCUAACGGCAAAGGAAGUACAUGCAGGAAAUAUGCACCCUAGAAAUGCUUUCAAGCGUUACAGAUUCAAUAAAUCUUGUCUGUGUCAAGGCUAAGCUGAGGCACCUAGGAUCCCAUCCUAGGCAGACUCUAGGGUGGUAUGAUGCCCAGCAGGCUGCCUGGUCCUGGAUCCUUGCAAAGAGCUCUCUCCCUUGCCAGUGAUUUGUCAGCAUUCAAAGCUGAGUCUCGUCCUCACUGAACUUCCUGUUCCUCAACUGAACUCCACUGUCGGCAACAUGGGUUUGAGACUCCAGGGGAUAAGAACUUGAAAAUGUCGGCAGUACAUCCACAACACUGAGGCAAAGCUGUGGAUACCAGUGAACUCCUGUCACUCUGGGGCUAGAAUUGUGAACUGACUUUGGAACAGUUUCAG